rnacentral:lncRNA from 1 species
ACUUGGGAGCUUGUCCCUCUUCCUUCAGGUAAUUCUACUGUUGGUUGUCGUUGGGUGUAUGCAGUCAAGGUUGGUCUAGAUGGUAAGGUUGAUCGUCUUAAGGCUCGUCUUGUGGCCCCUGUAUCAGCUGGACAUUAAAAAUGCAUUUUUACACGGUGACCUUGAGGAUGAAGUUUAUAUGGAGCAACCACCUGGGUUUGUUGCUCAGGGGAGGCUCGUCUUGUUGCCAAGGGAUAUACUUAGAUAUUUGGGCUUGAUUACAAUGAUACAUUCUCUCCCGUGGCUAAGAUAGAUUCAGUCCACCUUUUUCUCUCCAUGGCUGCUGUUCACCAUUGGCCCCUCUAUCAGCUGGACAUUAAGAAUGCUUUUUUACAUGGUGACCUUACAGAUGAAGUUUAUAUGGAGCAACCACCUGGGUUUGUUGCUCAGGGGGAGUCUCGUGGUCUUGUAUGUCGCUUGCGCCGGUCACUUUAUGGUCUAAAGCACUCUCCUCGAGCCUGGUUUGGUAAGUUCAGCACAGUUAUCCAAGAAUUUGGCAUGAUUCGGAGUGAAGCUAAUCACUCUGUGUUCUAUC